rnacentral:rRNA from 1 species
GUGCCAGCCGCCGCGGUAAUACAGAGGGUGCGAGCGUUGUCCGGAAUCACUGGGCGUAAAGGGCGCGUAGGUGGCUGGGUAAGCGUGCGGUGAAAGCCUGGAGCUCAACUCCAGGUCGGCCGUGCGUACUGCCCGGCUUGAGCACGGUAGAGGCCGAUGGAAUUCCGGGUGUAGCGGUGGAAUGCGUAGAGAUCCGGAAGAACACCGGUGGCGAAGGCGGUCGGCUGGGCCGUUGCUGACACUGAUGCGCGACAGCGUGGGGAGCAAACAGGAUUAGAAACCCCCGUAGUCC